rnacentral:rRNA from 1 species
CGCAGUGACUAGCUACUGAAUCAUAGAAUUUCUUUAAAUUCAUGAUGUCGUAAGGGAAAAUAAUGAUAUUACCUUACUAUGAGUGUCGUCCAAAGCUGGUGCCAGAAGACUCGGUAAGACCAGAGACGCAAACGUUAAUCAUCUUAAACAGGCGUAAAGGGUUUGUAGGCAGCUUUCAUAAUAUUAUUUCUUACAAAAAUAAAGAAGUGGUCUGAUUGAAAGCUAGAAUCAAAAAGAGGUUAUAGUGUAUAACGCCUAGAGGAGGGCUGAUAUCCUUAGAUCCUAGGCAGAAUACUUAGGGCGAAGGCCACUCUCCACUAAUGAUUGACGCUGAGAAACGAAGGUAAGGGUAGGAAAUAGGAUUAGAUACCCCGGUACUCCUUUCUGUAAACGAUGAAUGGUAGUCAUUAGUAAAAUUAACUAGAGACGAAGUUAACACAAUAACCAUUCCGCCUUGUGAGUACUACUGCAAAGUAGAAAACAAAAAAAUUAGUCGGUCUCGAAGCAAACGGAGUGAAGCAUGUUAUUUAAUCA